CGCCGAUGCCCUCCUUGGGCGUUUCCUCCCUAGACUUGGGCCGCUUGUGGCAACGCAAGCGGCCUCUUUAUUUUUGGCC
rnacentral:sRNA from 1 species